GUUGGUGUAACUCAGUGGUAGAGUGCGUGCUUUGUGUGUAUGAUGUCCUGGGUUCAAUCUCCAGCUUUUCCC